GUUCAAUCACAAAUAUCUCUCUUCCUUGCCAACACUCAUCAGUGCUCUCACAGAACCCAUAAACCCUAACCCCUCUCCGACCUCACGUCUCGCUCGCAGGGAAACAGAAAAAAAAUGGCGAACAAACCCUACUCCUUCCCUCCUUCCUCACCCAUGGAUCAUCUCCUAAUGCAAAGCCUCAUGAACCGCCUCCAUCUCCGCUCUCCAUCAUCCGAGGAUUCCCCCAAUUCACUCUUCCGAGACCUUUUCCCUCAACUCGCCGAUGAUGAUCUUCCUCUAUCCGACGAUGAGUCCACCGAAGCAAAUGACCUUUCGGAUGACAAUCGGCGCCGUCGCACUAUUGCGAAGGAGGAGGCGAAGCUUGAGAGGGAAAUCAUUCGAAUUAUACGCGCAGGUAAUGCUAAGGAGGCACUCAAAGCCAACUCGGGUCAAUCCGUCGCCGUUGGCGAGCACAACAUCUGCGUUGGGGUUCACGACGAGGCUUCCAGUAACUACAGGGUUUGGGAAUGGCACGGCCAUAUCAUGAUGUUUGACGAAGAGGAUGGAUUCAAUGCGGAGUAUGUGUACGGGAAUCAUUUCGAGAGGUUGCUGGAGAAGAAAGGAAAGGCCGGGAAGGAGAAGGGAGAUGAGGAGGAAGAGGUAGAGCCGAGGGGUGGUAGUUCGGGGUUGAAGGAUUUGAUAGGAGAUUUGAAGGAUUCCAGUGCUAACAGUAAAGGGAGGGUUCUUCAUCGGAAUUCUCUCACUUCUGGAUCUUCAUCAAAGUAAAGGUUGCAUUCUUUGUGACCAACUUCAUCCCUCGCUGCAUCGAUACUGCAUUCUUUUGGGGAUCAAUUGCUCUAGAUGGCGAUUCUUUAAAAAACAAUUGAGGGUUGCAAUGCCAUCGUGAUUAAAAGAUGGUGCAAAAUCUUCAAGAAUGUUCAGAAUGCUUGCUUUCUCCACAUUGCGUUUUGGUAUGUUUUUUUGCAUCUUUUCCUGCUUUGGAGGGUAAAUGUGUUUGCUUUUAUUGUAACUAUAUUAUAUUAUAUGGUUUACUCUCAAAAUAUUCUUUUUUUUUUGUUUGGUUGUAAUUUCUCGUAUAAAUAUUAUGUUUAUUUUGAUGCUUAAAAUUAGCUGAGCUUCAUUUUAA